UUUAACAAAAUGAGGGUAUAAUCAGGAAUACGAGAUGAAAUAAUAUUACUCACAUACUACAGAGUAUGGAAGAAAAUAUUAUUCCUAUGAAUACUGAACAAAAUAAUAUCUCUUGCGAAUACGAAAAAAAUAAUACCUCUUACCGCAGAAGAAGACUGGAUACUGGAAUAGUGAGGUAGCAGACUUCUCUUAUUCUUUCUCUCUAUAGCUUCUCUCUCUAUAAUUGCUCUUGUGAGUCUUAGUGAAUUGGUGAGAAUGAAAGAAGAAUGAGUUUUUAUUUAUAGGAAAAUAUAGUUUUGAUAAUUGCACAUUUUGGGGCUCGAAAUAUUACAGUAUAAUACCUUCAUCUUUUCCUUCAUUUUUAAUUUAGUCCUGCAAGUAUUAUCAAACUUGCACCACCU
rnacentral:lncRNA from 1 species